GGCGAAGUGGCCGAGUGGUCUAUGGCGCUAGCUUCAGGUGCUAGUCUACGUUUGUGGGCGUGGGUUCGAACCCCACCUUCGUCA
rnacentral:tRNA from 3 species